UACGGGGGAGCAAGCGUUGUUCGGAUUUACUGGGCGUAAAGGGCGCGUAGGCGGCCACCGCAAGUCGACUGUGAAAUCUCCGGGCUUAACCCGGAAAGGUCAGCCGAUACUGCGGGGCUAGAGUGCAGAAGGGGCAACUGGAAUUCCCGGUGUAGCGGUGAAAUGCGCAGAUAUCGGGAGGAACACCAAUGGCGAAGGCAGCUCGCUGGGACGUGACUGACGCUGAGACGCGAAAGCGUGGGGAGCAAACAGG
rnacentral:rRNA from 1 species